AAUGGCGGCUGCUUACCAUGCAAGUCGAGCGGAGAUAUAAAAAGAAAGCCCUUCGGGGUGGAAUUUUUACAUCUUAGCGGCGGACGGGUGCGUAACACGUGGGUAACCUGCCCCUAUCACUGGGAUAACACACUGAAAAGUGUGCUAAUACCAGAUAAUAUAAGCUUUUGGCAUCAUUAGCUUAUCAAAGAAUUUCGGAUAGGGAUGGGCCCGCGUCUGAUUAGCUAGUUGGUGAGGUAACGGCUCACCAAGGCAACGAUCAGUAGCCGACCUGAGAGGGUGAUCGGCCACACUGGAACUGAGACACGGUCCAGACUCCUACGGGAGGCAGCAGUGGGGAAUAUUGCACAAUGGGCGAAAGCCUGAUGCAGCAACGCCGCGUGAGCGAUGAAGGCCUUCGGGUCGUAAAGCUCUGUCCUAUGGGAAGAUAAUGACGGUACCAUAGGAGGAAGCCCCGGCUAACUACGUGCCAGCAGCCGCGGUAAUACGUAGGGGGCAAGCGUUAUCCGGAAUUACUGGGCGUAAAGGGUGCGUAGGCGGUUUAUCAAGUCAGGGGUGAAAGGCUACGGCUCAACCGUAGUGAGCCUCUGAAACUGGUGAACUUGAGUGUAGGAGAGGAAAGUGGAAUUCCCAGUGUAGCGGUGAAAUGCGUAGAUAUUGGGAGGAACACCAGUGGCGAAGGCGACUUUCUGGACUACAACUGACGCUGAGGCACGAAAGCGUGGGGAGCAAACAGGAUUAGAUACCCUGGUAGUCCACGCUGUAAACGAUGAGUACUAGGUGUCGGCUGUCAAAGGUCGGUGCCGGCGUUAACACAUUA
rnacentral:rRNA from 1 species